rnacentral:rRNA from 1 species
AGCAGCCGCGGUAAUUCCAGCUCCAAUAGCGUAUAUUAAAGUUGUUGCAGUUAAAAAGCUCGUAGUUGAAUUUCGGGAUCAAUAUGUCGGUCGUGCUUUCUGGUACGUAUUGGUGUCAUUGGUUUCUCCUUUCUGACGAGCCAUGAUGUCAUUAAUUUGGUGUUAUGGGGAGUUAGGACUGUUACUUUGAAAAAAUUAGAGUGUUUAAAGCAGGCA